rnacentral:lncRNA from 1 species
GGAACUCCUGAAAUAACAUGACUUCAUUUUAUUAGACAUGUCUCUUGAGUCAGAAAUUCCAUGCCUGGCAACUGUCAUCUUCUUGUUACUAUCUGUCGUGGUUUCCUUCACAUUUAUUUACGUGACUCUUUGUAAAUUUACUUUCCAGGAGAACUUCAGGAUGAAACAGACACUCUUCGGAAAAAAAACGGAGAACUUCAGGAUGAAACAGACACUCUUCGGAAAAAAAACGGUAAAUUUUCUGAUAUCCCAUUGCUCUUGAGCCCCUCCGAAGAGACUGGUUCAGCCUUUCAUCUUGUGUGCCGUUUCAUCUAUUUCGCUUCUGUCGGCAUGCCUUUCUCUUGCACGUCCUGUCUACGGCUCCACCUCAAUGUUUUGCGUUGGACGUGUCCACGUUCCUUCUGUCCAUUUCUGUUUGCCUACCUCCUCUGCUCUGCCAUUCCUUCUCUUUGCAAUGCAUGCCAUGCCCUCCCGGUAAGGACUGGCUUUGCUUCGGUCUUUCAGGCACUUGCCACAGUUUCAUGAAGAAGUUGGUGAGAUGCAAAGCAUUACGCUGAGAGGGAGAUGGUUUCUCUUCCACGUGUGUUUCUAGAAAACAUCCAAACACAGGGGCUCUGUCGGGACUUCCAAGUCAGAGGGGCCAUUCCUACACAAGUGAUAGCUCUUCAAAGACUUAAGGGAUGGGAGAUGGCCCCCAAACGGCUCCGAUAACGCCCUCUGCCCAUUGCCCUUUCAAAGCCUAAGUAGCAUAUGCUAUCAUCCAUCGGUCCAGAGUGUGCCAGGGCGCCCCUCUUCCACUGGCCUUCCCCCUGGGAACCAAGUAUUCCCAGGUAUGAACAUGUUACUUCAGUUUGCCUGCUGUUCUAAACAAAAGCCAGGCCUACCGGUUGUGUCAUUUUGUGUGUCUCAGAGUUCUGAAAUGUCAGUUCUCCCUGACGGAGGCUGUUGAAAAUUUAGAGCAAUCUUCAGUUCCAC